GAUGAAGAACGCAGCGAAAUGCGAUAAGUAAUGUGAAUUGCAGAAUUCCGUGAAUCAUCGAAUCUUUGAACGCACAUUGCGCCCCCUGGCAUUCCGGGGGGCAUGCCUGUCCGAGCGUCAUUUCUGCCCUCAAGCACGGCUUGUGUGUUGGGUGUGGUCCCCCCGGGGACCUGCCCGAAAGGCAGCGGCGACGUCCGUCUGGUCCUCGAGCGUAUGGGGCUCUGUCACUCGCUCGGGAAGGACCUGCGGGGUUUGGUCACCACUAUAUUUUACCACGGUUGACCUCGGAUCAGGUAGGAGUUACCCGCUGAACUUAAGCAUAUCAAUAAGCGGAGGA
rnacentral:misc_RNA from 1 species